AAAGGGUGCGUAGGCGGCCUGUUAAGUCAGGGGUGAAAGACGGUAGCUCAACUAUCGCAGUGCCCUUGAUACUGAUGGGCUUGAAUGGACUAGAGGUAGGCGGAAUGAGACAAGUAGCGGUGAAAUGCAUAGAUAUGUCUCAGAACACCGAUUGCGAAGGCAGCUUACUAUGGUCUUAUUGACGCUGAGGCACGAAAGCGUGGGGAUCAAACAGGAUUAGAUACCCUUGU
rnacentral:rRNA from 1 species